rnacentral:rRNA from 1 species
GACGAACGCUGGCGGCGUGCUUAACACAUGCAAGUCGAACGGAAAGGCCCUGCUUUUGUGGGGUGCUCGAGUGGCGAACGGGUGAGUAACACGUGAGUAACCUGCCCUUGGCUUUGGGAUAACUUCAGGAAACUGGUGCUAAUACCGGCUAGGAGCUCCUGCUGCAUGGUGGGGGUUGGAAAGUUUAGGCGGAUGGGGAUGGACUCCGGGCUUAUCAGCUUGUUGGUGGGGGAGUGGCAUACCAGGGCUUUGGCGGGUAGCCGGCAUGGGAGGGGGGACGGGCACAAGGGUACUGAGAGACGGACCAGACGGGUACGGUAGGCAGCAGGCGGGAAUCUGGCACAGUGGGCGGAAGCGUGAUGCAGAAACGCCGCGAGCGUGAUGACGGCCUUCGGGUUGUAAACCGCUUUCGCUUGUGACGAAGCGUGAGUGACGGUAAUGGGUAAAGAAGCACCGGCUAACUACGUG